rnacentral:rRNA from 1 species
UACAGAGGUCUCAAGCGUUGUUCGGAUUCAUUGGGCGUAAAGGGUGCGUAGGCGGCGCGGUAAGUCGGGUGUGAAAUCUCGGGGCUUAACUCCGAAACUGCAUUUGAUACUGGUGUGCUUGAGGACUGGAGAGGAGACUGGAAUUCAUGGUGUAGCAGUGAAAUGCGUAGAGAUCAUGAGGAAGACCAGUGGCGAAGGCGGGUCUCUGGACAGUUCCUGACACUGAGGCACGAAGGCCAGGGGAGCAAACGGG